rnacentral:rRNA from 1 species
CGGCGGACGGGUGAGUAACACGUGGAUAACCUACCUAUAAGACUGGGAUAACUUCGGGAAACCGGAGCUAAUACCGGAUAAUAUAUUGAACCGCAUGGUUCAAUAGUGAAAGACGGUUUUGCUGUCACUUAUGGAUGGAUCCGCGCCGCAUUAGCUAGUUGGUAAGGUAACGGCUUACCAAGGCAACGAUGCGUAGCCGACCUGAGAGGGUGAUCGGCCACACUGGAACUGAGACACGGUCCAGACUCCUACGGGAGGCAGCAGCC